rnacentral:misc_RNA from 1 species
UUGUGCAAAUGGUUCCAAACCAUUUCCAGCUCCAUUAAAAUUGUUAUUAGGUUCCGUCACAACACCUCCAGCUAAUAGAGACAAGAAAUUGAAAUCCUGUUUCUGACAGGUGUAUACACCAGAUGCCAGAGCAGACUGAGAAUGAUCAUGUUGUGGCCUUCGGUGUUGAAAAAUAUCACUUUUAAUGUCAUUUGAAUUCUUUUCAGCUGCAUUAACUA